rnacentral:rRNA from 1 species
GUGGGGAAUAUUGGACAAUGGGGGGAACCCUGAUCCAGCCAUGCCGCGUGAAUGAUGAAGGUCUUAGGAUUGUAAAAUUCUUUCACCGGGGACGAUAAUGACGGUACUCGGAGAAGAAGCACCGGCUAACUCCGUGCCAGCAGCCGCGGUAAUACGGAGGGUGCAAGCGUUAUCCGGAAUCAUUGGGUUUAAAGGGUCCGCAGGCGGGCUAUCAAGUCAGAGGUGAAAUCCCACAGCUUAACUGUGGAACUGCCUUUGAAACUGAUGGUCUUGAAUUAAGUGGGCGUUGGCGGAAUAUGACAUGUAGCGGUGAAAUGCAUAGAUAUGUCAUGGAACACCGAAAGCGAAGGCAGCUAACGAUACUUAUAUUGACGCUCAUGGACGAAAGCGUGGGUAGCGAACAGGAUUAGAUACCCCGGUAGUCC